GAUGAACGCUGACAGAAUGCUUAACACAUGCAAGUCUACCUGAAAUUCGGUGUGGGUGGCGGACGGGUGAGUAACGCGUAAAGAACUUGCCUCACAGGUAGGGACAACAAUUGGAAACGAAUGAUAAUACCUGAUAGGAGGAUUUUAGGGCAUACUAGGAUUAUGAAAGCUAUAUGUGCUGUAAGAGAGCUUUGCGUCCAAUUAGCUAGGUGGAGAGGUAACGUCUCACCAAGGCGAUGAUGGGUAGCCGGCCUGGGAGGGUGAACGGCCCCAAGGGAACGGGGACACGGCCAUUACUCCUACGGGAGGAAGGAGUGGGAAAUUUUCGACACUGGACCAAAAGUCUGAUCCAGCACUUCUGUGUGCACGAUGACGUUUUUCGGAAUGUAAAGUGCUUUCAGUUGGGAAGAAAAAAAUGACGGUACCAACAGAAGAAGUGACGGCUAAAUACGUG
rnacentral:rRNA from 1 species